rnacentral:piRNA from 1 species
UACAACGCUAAUGUCAUUGCGCGCCAACGG